GUUCCCGCGUUGACUGACAACAGAGGGGAAAUACAAUGGCUGGUUGGCUAGUAGUGGCGAGUAUAACGUUAACUGGCUUAUGUCGACGAAGCGAACUUGCCAAAAACCCAGAGACGGCAUUGAGGUCGAGGCAAUGGACCAUCCGGUCAGCAAGACACAGCAGAGUGAAGACCUGAGAGAAGAGAACACAGGAAGAUAUACGGAAGGGGCAAAAAGAAAAAGCUGCAGCUAAGAAGGUGAUAGACAGGAGCAGCACCUGGGCAGAGCGAUGAUUGGCUCUUGUCAGAGAGGUAUAGAUAGUUAAACUGACAGGGGCACGGAACAGGGUAGCAGACCUGCUGAUGACCAUGGCAGUGAUGAUUGGUUCCCAGCCUGUGUAGAGUAGGAUGCAACUGUCUGGGUUUCUGAAGGAGACGACCACCCACAGAUGGGUCAGGCAGAGGCAGAUCAGACACCCCAGGGGAGGCAGGCCAGGGUGAUGAGGUCACCGAAGCUGGCAGCGGUGGGAGUGGCCACAUUGUCUGAGUUGAUGCCUAUCCUCUUGGAGCCGAUGAUCACUCCCACGACGAUCAUCCCUGGGAGGACACAGUCGAGUGUGGUUCAGUCAACUAUUCAGAGUUGCAUGGCUCUCCAACCAAGGUGCAUGAAUUGAGGAGCAAAGAGGUGCACAAAUGAAAGCAAUGUGGUUCCAGCUGGGAGAAGCAGCAGACUGGGGGAAGGCACAGGGGACGAAAUAGCCUUCAGUGGCAUUAUUCACUUCCCCUUAUAUCCAGUGGUAAAUUAAAAUUAAGAACCUGUAAACACAGAUGGUGACGUUGAAAUUGUUGAAAUAGAGUUUAUAUGUGUCUGGGAUCUGGACCAAUCAGGAAGUAACCUAGGGGCGGCAGGUAGCCUAGUGGUUAGAGAAUUUGGCCAGUAACUGAAAGGUUGCUGGAUCGAAUCCCUGAGCUGACAAGGUAAAAAUCUGUUGUUCUGCUGCUGAGCAAGGCAGUUAACCCACCCCUCUGAUUCAGAGGGGUUGGGUUAUAUGUGGAAAACACAUCUCGGUUGAAGGCAAUCAGUUGUACAACUUUCCCUAACCAGCAUUCAAAAUAUAAAACCACAUGAAUAAUUGAUUUGACUGUCCUUGAUCACAAGCUCUACAGAGUCUGGUCGGUCUCUCAGAUUUUAAGCAUUGGUUUUAUUUGAGUCAUCAAAUUAUUUAGCAACCAAAAGGUCUCUAAUAUGGAAGAAACCUACAGUUUUAGUUGUAUCCUGUGGUCUCUUUGCUGAAUAUUCUGUGUCCCAUAGACAGAAAGAGCAUGCAAGCUUUUGACUAUGGUAAAUAGUCAUUAGUAAUAAUGAUUCAUGGAUACACACGUGCCCCCGUGAUAGAGAGGACGUGGUAUGUAGAAAGACGCACCUUCCCUAUAGCAACUGCAGUCUCACACUAAGAUGCUAGUGAAGAGGGCCUUAUUGCAGGGAGGAAUUGGCAUGCAUGAACCUAUGUCAGACAAUGAGGUGA
ensembl:lncRNA